AGUGAACGCUGGCGGUAGGCCUAACACAUGCAAGUCGAACGGCAGCACAGUAAGAGCUUGCCCUUACGGGUGGCGAGUGGCGGACGGGUGAGGAAUACAUCGGAAUCUACUUUUUCGUGGGGGAUAACGUAGGGAAACUUACGCUAAUACCGCAUACGACCUACGGGUGAAAGCAGGGGAUCUUCGCACCUUGCGCGAUUGAAUGAGCCGAUUUCGGAUUAGCUAGUUGGCGGGGUAAAGGCCCACCAAGGCGACGAUCCGUAGCUGGUCUGAGAGGAUGAUCAGCCAAACUGAAACUGAGAAACGGCCCAGACUCUUACGGGAGGAAGAGGUGGGGAAUAUUGGAAAAUGGGCGCAAGCUUGAUCCAGCCAUACCGGGUGGGUGAAGAAGGCUUUCGGGUGGUAAAGCCCUUUUGUUGGGAAAGAAAAGCAGCAGGUUAAUACCCCGCUGUUCUGACGGUACCCAAAGAAUAAGCACCGGCUAACUUCGU
rnacentral:rRNA from 1 species